CACACCGCCCGUCACACCAUGGGAGUCGGUAACACCCGAAGUCAGUAGUCUAACCGCAAGGAGGACGCUGCCGAAGGUGGGAUUGACGACUGGGGUGAAGUCGUAACAAGGUACC
rnacentral:rRNA from 1 species